GACAUCAUAACUAGACUUUGCAGAUGUGGCACCCACUCUUCCCCCAUAAACCCUGAGCUCUCUGUGCUCAGAGCCCUCCCUGCUUCCUCGGUCCCUCAUACUUUUCCUGAGCCUCAGUGCCUUGGUACAUUCUGCUUCCUCCACUCCAAGGUGCUUCUUUCUCUUCUCCCUUAAAACUUCCCUCCCUAACCUUUAAAGUCCAGCUUGAGUCCCAAAGGCACCUGAUCUUCUGGGAAAACAUGACCACCAAAUAUCAACUCCAGGCCUAUGAGGCCUAAUCGGAUGAUUAAGGACAAGAUCAGCAGGAGGUAACCACAGUGAUGUGACCUGCAGCCUCCCAGCAAUCAAAGUACUUGGAAUCUUGGAAUCUGGGCCCACUCUGCAGCCUGGGACAGAGCUGGUUUCACCCUCCGAUGCUAAGCAGAAGAGAGAGGAAGCUGAGUUUGUACCAGGGAAAGUUUACAUCACAGAAGAAGGGCCUGAGGCACUAUGGAGGUGGAUGCAGGAGCCUGAGGACCACAUGUGCCCAUCAGAUGUUCUUGUUUGCCCUAGGACAUGUAGAAAACAUCGGCACUGACAGGCUGCCAUUGAAUAGUUUUAUCCACUACAGAAAAUAAAGACAGCUGUACUCACUACCAGUUCUACAAUCCUGAGAAAAUGACUUAGGUUGGCGUGACUCAGAUCUGGUGGCAACAUUUGACCCCAUCUCCUACAGUGGGGCAGCACAUGGGCAGAGUGGCUGAUCCCAUC
rnacentral:lncRNA from 1 species